rnacentral:rRNA from 1 species
UACGGAGGAUGCGAGCGUUAUCCGGAUUUAUUGGGUUUAAAUGGUGCGUAGGCGGCUUUUUAAGUCAGCGGUGAAAUUUUGCAGCUUAACUGUAACAGUGCCGUUGAUACUGGGGAGCUAGGAUUUGGUUGCUGUGGGUGGAAUGUGUGGUGUAGCGGUGAAAUGCUUAGAGAUCACACAGAAUAUCGAUUGCGAAGGCAGCUCACAAAGCCAAGAUUGACGCUGAGGCACGAAAGUGUGGGGAUCAAACAGGAUUA